rnacentral:lncRNA from 1 species
UUAAUGCAAAAAAAAAAAAGGAGAGUACGUAGGAGGUUUGCUAAAUUAAAAACUCACAUUCAUUAUUUCAGUACUGAAUAAUCUUCAUAAUGAUUUUGCAAUCACAACUAUUUAAUCAAUUUUUCAGAAUUUCUAAAUUCAAAGUAUGAUUUCCUUUAUUGUUGUUGUUUUUGGUUGUUUUUUUUAAAGCAAAUGAAAAAUGGUUCCUUUAACAAGAUAUUUUUGGUUGAAUUUACUUGGUGAAAGCAAAAAUCAAUGAGGCAGAUAGGGAACUAUCUUUUUGUCAUUUGCAUAAAUUGUUCUAUUCAUAAUAUUUUCAUUGUAUAAAUAACAAAUUAUUGAACUCCAGGGGUUGUUCCCCCUGUCAGGUAGUGCUAGAUCACAUUUGUAAAUGGUGCUCAUUAUGAAAUGCAUUUGAAGCUCACAUGUUUAUUUAUUGGUGCCUCUUGUUUAUAAAUUGUGUACACAUCAAAAUGAUCAUGAAACAUCAUGCAGAAAUAUUUUUGGGUCUGUAGAUAGAUCUUGUGAUAAUGAUUUUCCUAUUUUAUUUUUCAUUUAGUUUUAUGAUUGGAGAUAUAGCCACUUUCUUCUGUUCAUUUAUACAGUUCGUGGUGGUGAGGUGAUCAUGUUUGGGUUUUAAGAUAGGCCCUUAAAGCACAUUUCCUUUCAAAUUGGGAUUAAGACUUUUUAUAAUAUUGAUAGAUUUUCAUAAAAGUUACUGUAAUUUGUAAGAAUAUAUGAUUACAAAUACAUCUUUUUUAAAAACAAAUUCCUACUAGUCAAUUUUAAAACAGAUUUCCCCCAAAAAUUAAUUUUUAACAAUAUUUUAACUGCAUUUCCUUAGGGCUAUUCCAUUAAAAUGUAUAUGAGAGGGUAGAAAGGAAGUUUAGUUAUUAAAUGUGGGUCAUGGGUCUUUUUUCAGUAUUAGUCUAUUACCAUUAUGCAAAAUUAUAUAAAAAAUGGUUAUUGGUUUUAGGGAUAUUUUAAAAGUCCCAUCCUACCCUCCCAUAUACAUUUUAAUGGACUAGCCCUCAUCACUUUAAAAAUUGAAAGCUGAUGAGAACAACACUUCCAUUUUGAAUUAACCCUUUAACACAAUCUUGUGUGAUUUUUUCUUCAUUAUCAAGUUCAAAGUGUUUGUUCUUACAUCCUUUAUAUAAAUGCAAAGUUGUAGUAGGUGACAGACAAACUAGAGCCUACGUAAAAGAAAUGCAUUUGCAUAAAUGGUGUUUAACUUUUGUAAAUUUGUAUAAUUCAUGUUUGGUAACCAAUUCAAGGUUUUCCUUGUCACAUAUCAGAAAAAUAGAAAUAUUUGAGUAAAGGUGUAAAUUCUUACAGAAUUAUUUAACAAGGGAUGUGUUCUAUUCAUUAGAAGUUCAUUCACAUAUAUGUAUUUCAAAGAAUUGAUUGUGCAUUCAAUUUUUGGGGAGCAAACAAUGUUUUGAAAAUAGUUGUAGAAUUUUUACAUGAAAUUAGAACAUCAAGAUUUUUUCUGUCUUUAUAGUUUUCAAAAAACGGUCUCACCUUCCUCAAAUUAUUGUCUUGACCAAUCAGAAUCUCCUACACAUCAACUGGAGCAAAUCAGAAUUCUCUUUAACAAGGUGUGUACCAAUCAGAAUCUCCAAUACAGUGUUGUUCCCAUAAUGCAUCACCACUUCUAACUGUCAAAAAAGUUGAGGCCUGAAAUCUUUCCAUCAAAAAUAAUACAAACAUGGCAUAUUUUGAAAAUUGUUAAGUUAAACAGAAGACUGAUGGUUUAAUUAUCAUAUGCUUUUUUUAUUUGCUCAACAUCACUGCAACUAUCUGAAAAAUAUUCUGUCUAUUUGAAAUUAUAUAUAAUUGAACAGAAUAUGGUAAUAAAGUUUUUUUCGUAACUGUGAGCUCAAUUUCAUAAGAUUCUUAUCAGAUCUGUUACAUAUUGGUUGUGUAAUAUUUUUGUAUGAUUUAUUUAUUAAUAAAAAUGCUCAGC